GUCGAGCGAAUUAAUAGGAGCUUGCUCCUGUUGGUUAGCGGCGGACGGGUGAGUAACACGUGGGCAACCUGCCUGUAAGACUGGGAUAACACCGGGAAACCGGUGCUAAUACCGGAUAAUCCUUUUCCUCUCAUGAGGAAAAGCUGAAAGACGGUUUCGGCUGACACUUACAGAUGGGCCCGCGGCGCAUUAGCUAGUUGGUGAGGUAACGGCUCACCAAGGCGACGAUGCGUAGCCGACCUGAGAGGGUGAUCGGCCACACUGGGACUGAGACACGGCCCAGACUCCUACGGGAGGCAGCAGUAGGGAAUCUUCCACAAUGGACGAAAGUCUGAUGGAGCAACGCCGCGUGAGCGAUGAAGGCCUUCGGGUCGUAAAGCUCUGUUGUUAGGGAAGAACAAGUACCGGAGUAACUGCCGGUACCUUGACGGUACCUAACCAGAAAGCCACGGCUAACUACGUGCCAGCAGCCGCGGUAAUACGUAGGUGGCAAGCGUUGUCCGGAAUUAUUGGGCGUAAAGCGCGCGCAGGCGGUCCUUUAAGUCUGAUGUGAAAGCCCACGGCUCAACCGUGGAGGGUCAUUGGAAACUGGGGGACUUGAGUGCAGAAGAGGAAAGCGGAAUUCCACGUGUAGCGGUGAAAUGCGUAGAGAUGUGGAGGAACACCAGUGGCGAAGGCGGCUUUCUGGUCUGUAACUGACGCUGAGGCGCGAA
rnacentral:rRNA from 1 species